UAGGGAAUCUUCGGCAAUGGGGGGAACCCUGACCGAGCAACGCCGCGUGAGUGAAGAAGGUUUUCGGAUCGUAAAGCUCUGUUGUUAAGGAAGAACGAGUGUGAGAAUGGAAAGUUCAUGCUGUGACGGUACUUAACCAGAAAGGGACGGCUAACUACGUGCCAGCAGCCGCGGUAAUACGUAGGUCCCGAGCGUUGUCCGGAUUUAUUGGGCGUAAAGCGAGCGCAGGCGGUUAGAAAAGUCUGAAGUGAAAGGCAGUGGCUCAACCAUUGUAGGCUUUGGAAACUGUUUAACUUGAGUGCAGAAGGGGAGAGUGGAAUUCAUGUGUAGCGGUGAAAUGCGUAGAUAUAUGGAGGAACACCGGUGGCGAAAGCGGCUCUCUGGUCUGUAACUGACGCGGAGGCUCGAAAGCGUGGGGAGCGAACAGG
rnacentral:rRNA from 1 species